GGACGAACAGUGGGGCUAUGUCGGGGCUAAAUCGCGCCAGCGCUGGCUGUUUUACGCGUAUGACAGGCUUCGGAAGACGGUUGUUGCGCACGUAUUCGGUGAACGCACUAUGGCGACGCUGGGGCGUCUUAUGAGCCUGCUGUCACCCUUU
rnacentral:rRNA from 1 species